rnacentral:rRNA from 1 species
GACGAACGCUGGCGGCGUGCCUAAUACAUGCAAGUCGAACGCAGUGGGGACGGGUGAGUAACACGUGGGUAACCUCCCAUCAGAGGGGAUAACACUUGGAAACAGGUGCUAAACCGAUACUGAUGGAUCAACCCGCGGGGCAUUAGCUAGUUGGUGAGGUAACGGCUCACCAAGGCCACGAUGCAUAGCCGACCUGAGAGGGUGAGCGGCCACACGGGGACUGAGACACGGCCCAGACUCCGACGGGAGGCAGCAGUGGGGAAUAUUGGGCAAUGGACGAAAGUCUGACGCAGCAACGCCGCGUGAGUGAAGAAGGUUUUCGGGUCGUAAAACUCUGUUGUUAGGGAAGCGGUAUUUAACCAGAAAGCAACGGCUAACUACGUGCCAGCCGCCGCGGUAAUAC